AAACGACUCUCGGCAACGGAUAUCUCGGCUCUCGCAUCGAUGAAGAACGUAGCGAAAUGCGAUACUUGGUGUGAAUUGCAGAAUCCCGUGAACCAUCGAGUCUUUGAACGCAAGUUGCGCCCAAAGUCCUCGGGCUGAGGGCACGUCUGCCUGGGUGUCACGC
rnacentral:rRNA from 1 species